UACAGAGGUCUCAAGCGUUGUUCGGAUUUACUGGGCGUAAAGCGUGCGCAGGCGGUUUUGUAAGCCAGAUGUGAAAUCCCCGGGCUUAACCUGGGAACUGCAUUUGGGACUGCAAGGCUUGAGUGCGGCAGAGGAGACUGGAAUUCCUGGUGUAGCAGUGAAAUGCGUAGAUAUCAGGAGGAAUACCGAUGGCGAAGGCAGGUCUCUGGGCUGACACUGACGCUCAUGCACGAAAGCGUGGGGAGCAAACAGG
rnacentral:rRNA from 1 species